CCUCUUUCACUGUUCACAUGGACACCUGACUGUUGUUUUAAGACAGUCUUGAAAAACUGUGAACCCGUCCUUUAACACUGUUUUAACACCAACUAUGUGACAGAUUUUGGGUUCCCAUGAACAGCAGAGAGUUUGCUGUGCAGUAUUGUUAAUAUGCACAACCUCUCUUCAUUAGAAUCAGUAAGACCUGACAUGACGGCAUCACCCUCCUCAGAAUUUAUCAGGCCACUUGGUCACAUUAUCGAUUUCUCGUUCCUCUUCCUCAUCAAGGACUCGACACGGCCGCUCUCCGCUAUCGUCCUCAACCUCGACUCAAAUGCCACGGUUAUUAUCCUGCGGACAUUCCGUGUUCUGGGAGACGUUGCUUAACCAAUCCGGGCCCAGACCGGAUAAUGUGAGCGAGGCAGAGAGCAGCACGUAUUUCCUCCAGCUGCAGCAGAGGUGCAUUACACAGGACAGAGGCAGGUUCACCAAACAUGUCUCGUUAUCAGCCCUGCAAAGCUGUUUCCCCCGAGGGACGAGAAAGUCCAGCACAUUGUUCAGUUCUGUGUCGACUCUGCAGGGAAAUAUAUGUUCAAGUGUGUCCCCAUUCUGUUGUAUGGAUGAGUCACAUCAUACAGAAUGAAUUAUGCAAACUGUUAAUAUCGAUUUCUACACAUCAAGAUCUACAGAAGUGAUGCACACAUGUUUUAAUUAAAGUGAAAAUUGAA